rnacentral:tRNA from 1 species
GCGGGUGUGGCGGAACUGGUAGACGCGCUAGACUUAGGAUCUGGUGAGCUCUGCUCGUGGAGGUUCAAGUCCUCUCACCCGCACCA